CCCCCCAGCAAUGGUCAAAGAGGCAUCUUGGUAGUGGUGUUCUUAUAUCAGUCAUGGGCAGAGCAGACAGCAGUCCUUGGUUCAUCCUAGCUUGACACAUGGCUUGAUGGCCAAAGCUAUCUUAUGCCUAGGACUCAUAA